CCAAGGCUAAGACGGGUAGCUGGUCUGAGAGGACGACCAGCCACACUGGAAGUGAGACACGGUCCAGACACCUACGGGUGGCAGCAGUCGAGAAUUUUUCACAAUGGGCGAAAGCCUGAUGGAGAGACGCCGCGUGGGGGAUGAAUGGAUUCGGCCCGUAAACCCCUGUCAUUCGCGAGCAAUGCCUUCCCGAUAACACCGGGACGGUUGAUCGUAGCGAAAGAGGAAGGGACGGCUAACUCUGUGCCAGCAGCCGCGGUAAUACAGAGGUCCCAAGCGUUGUUCGGAUUCACUGGGCGUAAAGGGUGCGUAGGUGGUGAGGUAAGUUCGGUGUGAAAUCUCCGGGCUCAACCCGGAAAAGGCAUUGAAUACUAUCUUGCUAGAGGUUUGGAGGGGGGACUGGAAUUCUCGGUGUAGCAGUGAAAUGCGUAGAUAUCGAGAGGAACACCGGUGGCGAAGGCGAGUCCCUGGACAACACCUGACAUUGAGGCACGAAAGCUAGGGGAGCAAACAGGAUUAGAUACCCUGGUAGUCCUAGCCCUAAACGGUGCACAUUUGCUGUGGGCGGAAUCGACCCCGUCCGUGGCGAAGCUAACGCGAU
rnacentral:rRNA from 1 species